AUUCAAAGUUCUAAAAUCUAUACGUAAGGUCAGGUAAAUUGACAUACAUAGGUAUACAAUGCUUUUUACACCAUAUAAAACAGAUAUAUAUUGUUUCUUGGUGUUAGAGCAAUUCCUGCAUAAAUGUAAGAUCAAUCUGGUAAAGAGCAUAUUGUGAGCACAAGCCUUCCAGUGACCCACGCUAGCAACACUUCAACGUGACGCAGCAUGGAGACUCGUGCGGUUCACACACACACACACACACACACAGGACUGGUCCAGUGUCCUUUACAGAGAUGGUCUGGUUAAACAGAAUGCAAGCUUUCACGCUCGUCCACGUGCGCACCGUCGGUCUGAAAAAGCUCCGCACAAAGUGCCACUCAGAAUUUCUUGCAGUAACACUACCGGUUUACUGGAUAUGUUCCUGCUGUUUCUCCCGAUACCCAAUACAGCAUGCUGGGGAUUAGAGAUCAAUUGUGACUCUACAAUGAAAUAAAACAUCUUGAAAUCUUUGUUAGCCGCUGUUGUACAAAAAUAUUCUGUUUAGAUGAACAGCGGACAAGAUAUACAUUCAUUUUAUCAUCAAAUCAUCUUCCAGUAUACCUGAGAACAUGAAUAACCAAUCUUAAACUUGAAAGAAAACAUGAAGGCAUAAUCAAUUGUUUCAUUUGGUUUUAUUCAAUCUUAAAUACAUGUAAAAGACAUACAAUAUUGCAUCUCAAUGGUCAUACACACAUCUAGAAUUUCUACAAACAAUAAAUAACCUGGCGUCAUUUCUCUCUUGCCAGGGGCAGCAUCUACAGCAACCUCAAACAGGAAUAGAUAUCAUAUGACCGGUCACGUGACCACCUGAAUAUCAACGAUACAUGUACACAAGCAGUAUGUUAACAGUGCAGAUGUCAUUGUAUACCUGAUAGCUUUGUAAAUAUGUUCAAAAAAUUUCCAUUCAUACACUUGAUCUUUUUAGAGGUCAAUCCGAUUUUGACCUUGGAUUUUGUAUUACAUACUGCAAUAAUUAUGGACUGUAAAAUAUACAACUAUUUAAAAAGUCUUCAUUUGUGAAUACUCAAAUUCAUUUGUUGUCAAUUUCUUGAUAAUUAAAACUCACGAAAUAACAUUCUAUAGAAACUCAAUGUCUAGCAUGUUCUAAAAUAUUUAAGAGAGUUUAACAUACAUAGAUACAUACUAUACAAAUAUGGUCUAUUUAUUCAAUUAAAAAAAAUGAGAGAAAAAAAACAAAAAUACAUUUACACUCACAGGAAAAAUGUUGACAAACAUUUUCAUUUAAAUGACAUACAUUGGACAAUAUUAUUUGUGAACAACAUGUUUUAUAAGCACCACUAAAAAGAUUCCUUUGGUUUGACAAACUUCAUGGUAGAUCCCGAAAGAAAGGCUACUGAUAUUGAUACAGUAUUUGUUCUACAGUUUUCUUUCUCAGUUUAUUCACAUGUCACACACAAGUUCACAUCAUGGCUUGGAAUGCCCAUGUUUACUUAUUUUUUUUUUGCAGAUGUCAAAUACUUCCAGAAUUUCAACACAAAAUACACAUGAAAGACUUUUUUCAAACGAUAUUCACAUCAAGUUGGCAUGAACAUGUGGAUGAUUUACAGAGUUUUCUUUGUAUGCAACCUUUCAUAUAAUGUGAUAUCUAUAAUGAACAUCAUUUCUACAUUCAGCCAGAUGUUGAUGUACAAAUCUUCAAAUCAUCAUUCAAAAUCACAAUGAUUACUUACAGCAAUGAAAAGAAAAAUCUACAACACCAUUACCCAUAUCCAAACAAUGUAAAUAUGAAAGUAUAUAUACACUUCGUUUAGGCAUCCAACAAAAUAAUAUUCAUAGAGAAUUUCUUUUUCUUUAAAAAAAAUCAUUAAUAAUUUGAAAUACAUGUAAAAAUAUGAAAACAAAGAUCAACACUUGAUUCAGGAUUGUUUUAUAUUUUUCGGUAAAUGAUUCCCAGUGGUAGGAUUAAAUAUGUCUAGCAAGAUGCGUACACAGAAAACACACAAUACUUGCUUAAUAAUGAAACUGUACACAUACAAGAGAGGACAGGCUUGGAAUGCACAGAAUUAGACAGACACACAAAAUGAGAGGUGGGGUGUUCAUGAAAUUAUGAUAUUUGGGACAAUGAAAUGCACCUCUGCUACUGUCAUUUUCCCUUGACACAAUACCUGAUUACAGUUAAGGCUGAGGCAUUUGGAAAUGUAUCUACGUAACAGAAUAAACAUUCGUAAACAUGGAAAGCAACUCUUUCAGACAUUUGGCCUAUGCUUACACAAUUUUUUUGUUUGCAUUCCAGUUUAAUGCCUAAUUCAAAACAACUAAUUAAAACAAAAUCCUCUUGGUGUGGAUAAAGCAUUUCAUGACUCAUAAUAUAAUAAAUGCUAAUGGUACAAAUUGACAAAGAUAUUA